rnacentral:rRNA from 1 species
UACGGAGGGUGCAAGCGUUAAUCGGAAUUACUGGGCGUAAAGCGCACGCAGGCGGUCUGUCAAGUCGGAUGUGAAAUCCCCGGGCUCAACCUGGGAACUGCAUUCGAAACUGGCAGGCUAGAGUCUUGUAGAGGGGGGUAGAAUUCCAGGUGUAGCGGUGAAAUGCGUAGAGAUCUGGAGGAAUACCGGUGGCGAAGGCGGCCCCUGGACAAAGACUGACGCUCAGGUGCGAAAGCGUGGGGAGCAAACAGGAUUAGAUACC